rnacentral:rRNA from 1 species
UACAGAGGUGGCAAGCGUUGUUCGGAAUUACUGGGCGUAAAGGGCGCGUAGGCGGCCUUCUAAGUCGGACGUGAAAGCCCCAGGCUUAACCUGGGAACUGCGUCCGAUACUGGGAGGCUUGGAUUCGGGAGAGGGAUGUGGAAUUCCAGGUGUAGCGGUGAAAUGCGUAGAUAUCUGGAGGAACACCGGGUGGCGAAGGCGGCAUCCUGGACUGUAACUGACACUGAGGAACGAAAGCCAGGGGAGCAAACGGGG